GCCUGGGUGGCUCAGUAGGUUAAGCGCCUGACUUCUGCUCAGGUCACGAUCUAACCCACAGUUAGUGGGUUCGAGCUCCGCAUCAAGCU
rnacentral:tRNA from 1 species